UAUAUUUCAGUGUCUUCCUGUGAUUUGUGCAGAGUUGACAGCAAAGAGAAGUGAGCAGCAGAGCACAGAACGGAAAAGAGUCUCAGUGUCUAAUUACAGAUUGCAUAAAGAGGCAGUGACUCACACAAUUCCUUGGCAUGCCACUGCAGGAGGGCAGCAUCAUGUGAUGAACAUUGCAAGAUAACAACAUAUUCCUAUAAAUGACCCCAAGUUUUCAGCUGACGGUUCCCCAGCCUUAUCCAGUAUCGAAGUAUCAGAUACUUUCAGGCCUUUGAUCCAAUAAAAGUGACA